GUCCUCGUAGCUCAGGGGAUAGAGCAUCGGUUUCCUAAACCGAGGGUCGUUGGUUCGAAUCCAAUCGGGGAUA
rnacentral:tRNA from 1 species